rnacentral:piRNA from 1 species
UGCCACUCUCAUCUUUAAUGUACCUAGAUC